GGGGGGAAGAAGGCAAAAUAGUGAACAGGGGGAGACAAAGAAACCGAGGCUGAGGAAUGGGAUGUGAAAGGUGGUUGGCAAGGUAAAGUCUGUCUGUCUGCCUGUCCAUCUGUUUGUCUAGUUGUCCAUUUGUGUUUCCAUCCAUCUGUCCACGCAGCUGUCUGUCCGUCCGUCCCUCAGGUUCCAUGUCUUUGUAGAGCUGUGUCUCCAUGCCUGUCCAUCUGUGUGGCCCUGUUGGACUGUACCUAUUCUCCUCCUCUGUGACUGAAGCUGGGGAAUAGAGCGGCAGCAGCCUCAUGGCUCUCACAUCUUUUCCUCUGACCCGUAAUUAAAACAAUGACUCAGCUGUAAGCCAAAGUUUUAUUUAAUAAAUAUAAUUAUUUUAUUUCCAUAAACCAUAAAGCAACUUCUACUGCCCGAGCUGCACGGUGCACAAGCACACAGACUUGCUGUCAGCAUCAGGAGGAACACGAGGCAGCCACAGUGUCACAGGUCCAGAAUUCUUAAUACUAAUUAUUGCUACAGUUUCCAGUUGCCACUGAUCCUUAACUGCCUAAAAUUAAGGAUCGACUUUGUUAAAAUGGCACCCUCACAUGCUUUUCCCAUUCAUGUUGGUUUUUUUAAUCAAAAAAGAAAGAAAAGGAGCAAGGAGAACUGGAUGCCACUCCAGGAGGAAGGGGUGACGGUAGGUGUGCGUAAGAACUGAGAGCUACAAUAGGAACAUAACUGGAAAUUUAAAAAAUCACUUCCUUGCUGGAGUUACGACAUCCUCUUUGUGUCUGAAAGCAAAUCCCAUUAUAACCCAUACCAGCAAGAGAGGAAAACAGUCAUAUAUGUAUGUAUAUUCUUUUUAAAAUCAUUGCCACAAUGCAGAAAAGAUGAGAAUGACUGAACUCUGCUGCUACUCCAAGUAGAAGUGCUGAGAAAAGUGCACACUGUAUCCCAUUCAGGUGAAGCACAGGGCUCUGUUUAAGCAAGAAACACUGCUGUAAUCUGCAGUGUUUUUCAUCUCUUUCCCCCUUCAUGUUACAUAUAGAGAUCUUUCACCCCCAGCCCAUCAGGUUGUUCAUGUCCAUGCAUUUAUACAAACCAGAAACAACAACAAAGAAGUCGUAUCUACAGUGACAAUUUUAUAUACUUAUUGUAAAACAACGAGGUAACGUGGCAACACCUAGAGCAAGGCGAAUACGUCAAAGUGAUGAGAACAUUCCUUUUAACAGAAGCGUGGGCAGCAGAGCUAGUGCUGACAUCACUAUGAGCAGCUGAACAAUCUAGGGGAAGCAGAAGCCUCGCAAAUACCGAUGCCAAUGCAUGUCUAAGCUGAUCGAGGGCAAGAGUUAGGUGGUACAGCCAUGAGCAUCCCAUCUUUCCUCCUGUUUUUAAAUUGAGUCAUUCAAAUAGAAAAUAGAAACCAGAGAAGUCAUAACACUGGAAGCAAAGAGAAGCAAAGAACAUACAAACCAGCCAACAAUAAAGAGUCACAGAAAAAAAGAAACGGCCCGCAACAAAAGUCUAAGUAGGAAGAAUUUAGAAACAAGAAGGAAAGGCUGAAAUUAGUCCGUAUUUCAUGGUGACUGGUUCACCCAGCUCUAGGAAUGCAUCUCCAUUUAAAAAAAGAAAUGUAUAACAAAGCAGCAGCAGGUGCAGUGCUGGUGGUUAUAGCUAUAAAGAAGAUUCUUUCAGUGGCGAUGGAACUUCAGAGACUGACUUCAAACUGGAUUCCCAAACACGUGUCCAAACGCAGCAGCAUUUUUCCUGGCCUGCACCUGAGGACUACCUAAGACAAAGCUGUAAGGUGUCCCUGGGGGCAGCACCUCCAUUUACCUCUCACAUCUAAAGAAAGACCCCUAAUAGCUCUGGCCAAUGUGGCAGAACGAAGAGGCAGAUGUUGCUACCCUUCCCCAAACAUGAAAACACAUUUAUAAACUGAUGGGAGGGGGAAAAAAAAAAAAAAGAAGUACCUGCAAGAUGCAUUAUGUACCAUUCCAAGUUGCAUCGAUGCAAUCUGCUUUUAUUGGCAUACUUUGGUAUCAAAACCCUGCCACCAAUAUCUCAGAUCCUUCAGCUAUAUGAAGAUAAUUAAGCAUUAACCACAUCUUCAACAUACAACAUGGCCAAAUAUAAAUACAUGAAAAAGAACAAAACAUGCAAGGAUUCACCAACAUGAAAAGGAUUCCUCAUUCAAAAACGUAUGUCAGUGAGGUACCUGCACGAGCCACAGUUUCUUUCCCAUUUUCCCACAUCAGGUUUGUGAACAGUUAACAAACCGGUGUGAGAGAUGAGUGGCUUUGAAUCACACUUCAAGAAAACAGCAACCUGUUAAAUCCUCGUGACUCCAAAUGACCGAUACGUACACUGUUUCUCAAAGUGAUGGCUACUAAAUGGCCAUUCAUACAACAGCAUAAAUAUUUGAAUUAUAUUUAUCUCUAAAAAGUUACUGAGUACUUAAACAAUACAGAAACCAUCUGUGGAAACAAUAAGACUGAUCUGCAAACUGCCAAAGUAGCAGCUGUAAAAGACAGUCCAAACUGAGUGUGUGUGGAGUAAAGGACAAUCUAAUUUCAUUACUCUCCACUUACGUUUCGUUGUGCAAAUUCUAUUUGAUUGUUUGGAUUUGGGGGGAGAAAGAUUUUGCACUGUGCUAUACCAGCAUCUCAAAUAUCAAA